CCUACGGGGGACAGCAGUGGGGAAUAUUGCACAAUGGGGGAAACCCUGAUGCAGCGACGCCGCGUGAGUGAAGAAGGAUUUCGGUACGUAAAGCUCUAUCAGCAGGGAAGAAGAAGGACGGUACCUGACUAAGAAGCCCCGGCUAACUACGUGCCAGCAGCCGCGGUAAUACGUAGGGGGCAAGCGUUAUCCGGAUUUACUGGGUGUAAAGGGAGCGUAGACGGCUGUGCAAGUCUGAAGUGAAAGCCCAGGGCGCAACCCUGGGACUGCUUUGGAAACUGUGGAGCUAGAGUGCUGGAGAGGUAAGUGGAAUUCCUAGUGUAGCGGUGAAAUGCGUAGAUAUUAGGAGGAACACCAGUGGCGAAGGCGGCUUACUGGACAGUAACUGACGUUGAGGCUCGAAAGCGUGGGGAGCAAACAGGAUUAGAUACCCCAGUAGUC
rnacentral:rRNA from 1 species